rnacentral:rRNA from 1 species
GUGAGGAAUUUUCCACAAUGGGCGAAAGCCUGAUCCAGCCAUGCCGCGUGAACGAUGAAGGCCUUCGGGUUGUAAAGUUCUUUAGCCGAUGAUUAUAAUGACUGUAGUCGGAAAAUAAGCCCCGGCUAACUUCGUGCCAGCAGCCGCGGUAAUACGAAGGGGGCGAGCGUUAUUCGGAAUCACUGGGCGUAAAGCGUGCGUAGGCGGUUUUGUAAGUUAGGAGUGAAAGCCCAGGGCUCAACCUUGGAAUUGCUCUUAAAACUGCAAGGCUCGAAUCUCGGAGAGGAUAGCGGAAUUUCCAGUGUAGCAGUGAAAUGCGUAGAUAUUGGAAGGAACACCAGUGGCGUAAGCGGCUAUCUGGACGAGUAUUGACGCUGAGGCACGAAAGCGUGGGGAUCAAACAGGAUUAGAAACCCCAGUAGUCC